UACGGAGGAUGCGAGCGUUAUCCGGAUUUAUUGGGUUUAAAGGGUGCGUAGGCGGGCUUUUAAGUCAGCGGUAAAAAUUCGGGGCUCAACCCCGUCCGGCCGUUGAAACUGGGGGCCUUGAGUGGGCGAGAAGAAGGCGGAAUGCGUGGUGUAGCGGUGAAAUGCAUAGAUAUCACGCAGAACCCCGAUUGCGAAGGCCGCCUUCCGGCGCCCUACUGACGCUGAGGCGCGAAAGCGUGGGGAGCAAACAGG
rnacentral:rRNA from 1 species